rnacentral:rRNA from 1 species
UACGUAGGGGGCAAGCGUUGUCCGGAGUUACUGGGCGUAAAGCGCACGCAGGCGGUCUUUUAAGUUUGGAGUGACAGUUGGUGGCUUAACUGCCAAAGUGCUUCGAAAACUGAAAGACUUGAGGGCUUCAGAGGGACACGGAAUUCCGGGUGGAGUGGUGAAAUGCGUAGAGAUCCGGAGGAACACCAAGGGCGAAGGCAGCUCGCUGGGACGGUACUGACGCUGAGGCGCGAAAGCGUGGGGAUCAAACAGG